CCUGUUCUGUUGCACGCGCUCAGCGCGGGGGCUGCGGCGCUCCCACCCCUUGCAGAGCCCCGGGGCUGGCUCAGAGGCGGGGACCGAGGCACCGAGCCGGGAGACGCAGAGCCCCAGUCUCUGCCCGCGGCACGUGGAAUUGUUAGGGCCUCCAGCCCCUGUUUGCUCCCCCGGCAGCACCGCACUGGGGCGAGGCUGGGAGCCCGCACGCCGGCCGGGCGGAGUGCAGGGGGACAGACACGGGACGCUGCAGCCGCUGCUCUGCUCCUGCGCUACCGGCAGCUAACGCUGCAGGACAAAGCCGCGGCGCGCCGGUGUCACCCCGGAACCCGCGACUCCGGCCCUUGGCACGUGUGUGUGUGUGGCCCGGGGGGAGGCCCCAGCGCUGUUCUGCAGGGCGUGGGGCCCCUGACUUGCCCGCUGGGGCCCCGGCCCCGCUCCCUGCUCGCGGAGGCAGGGCUGGCGGUGCCGCGCCCAUCCCGUCCCCGGGCUCCCGUCCCCGGGCUCCCCCCCCCCCCGCGGGGAGCCGUGCCAGGAGCGGGGCUGGGCUGCGGGCAGGAGGGCAAAGCCGUGGGGGAGGCACGCCGAGCUCCCCGCGCCUUGGCUUUGCCGGCCGAGAGCAGGGACUGCCCUGCCCGGGGAGCGGAGAACACGCCGCCCCGGCUGGGCUUGGCACCUCUACCAGCGUGCGUCGGUCUAACUCUCCUGUUUGUUGGCCAGGGUGGGGCAUAUGCCCCAUCGUCCCAGUACUGAACCUGUCUGGUUUUUUAAUCACAGCUCACCCCACCCCCUCAGUGAAGAAAACUUGUAGAGCAAGUAGCAAGUCCUCCUGUGGAGUAAUGCUGUUCAUUAGUGAGCUGCAUCCUUGCAGGAAGCUGGCCACCUGGAAACUCUCUUCAGGCUUCUUGGAAAAGGGUCCUUGGCUGACAUAUAGACAGGAAAAAGGCUAUCUCCGUUGUGAACCAGAAGGGUCUCUGUGUCUCCUGCCUUAUUUUUUAUUUUCUAGACAUGGAAGCCAAAUGUGUAAGAACCUACUAUUCCCCGGUCUGAGAUCAUCCAGGAUCUUUUCCAUUACAAGCACAGGACGAUAUCCAUAUUCUGCUGAACCAUAAGCUAUUAUUGGAGGGCUUCCCCCUCUUCUUCCAAAUUCUGCCAGAGCACAGCUGCCUGCUAUCUAAAGCUUUGAGAUCAGUUUUGCAUUAUGCACUGGAGAGCUCUUUGUACUCAAGAAGCCCCAAAGGCAUGACCAAUGGAUCUGCUGGUAAUUUCACUUUUGUUAUAGUCAUGAUGACAUUUUAAAUCCUUGACCAAGCUUUGAGACAUUCCUACCAGCUACAGAAAAAGGAAUGGUUUCCCCCCCCCCCCCCCCCCGUCCAAACCAGGGUCUCUUCAGACCAGAACUCCUAGUGUUGCCCUUGUGAAUGAGAAUGGUGUCUGAUGAGGUAGAGAUUCAGCUGGCUGCAAGAACUGGAGUGAAGAGGAUUGCAUUGCAAUGACCCAUACUCUUACAUUGUUUGUUCGCUUGUUUAAAUUUAAAAAUGUAUAUGGGCAUGAAUCCAACCACCCCACCCAACUUUGAGUGAGUUCAGAUCCAGAUUCAAAUUUCAAGUGAGUAGUGAGCUCUAUAAUGAGCUGUCAUGAGUUCUGCAUCACGUGUGUCCGGGGUACGUGGGAAAAACUGACAAGGUCUCAUGACUGGGCAUAUUUCUGAAUGUCUGAACCAUCUGCGAACCCUAGCUGCAAUGCUGAGAUAUUUUAUCACCCCUGUGCAGUCGGUCGGUUUUCACUAACAUUUCCCAAGGGCAGCCAAACCCCAUAUAUUCGCCCUGAAACACAGAACCCAGUUUUCUGUACAAGUAUGGUCAGGGAGAUGCAUUACCUGCCUCGUCUUCAGCAAAGGAGAUGAUGAAUUUGUUAUAGGAGCUAAUCAGACCCGGGAAAGCACAGGCUUUAGUGCUACCAAUACAAAUAUCUUGUUUCUUCCAUUUAUUUUCCCUCUCCUCUUCCUGCAAAGCCAUAAGGCGACUGGAUGAAAAAUAAAACCUUUGUUGUAGGAUUCAAAUUUUCCAUUCUCAGGGUUAAUUCCUGCAAAAAUCAUGCAUCGCUGGAAAUAAAAGGAACUUCACCUUGAGGAGGCAGACGCAUUCUUCCAUCGACUUAGCUGUGUGCAAGAUUGGAUCCUGACAUUGCAAGCUUCUCAGAGUCUGUUUUGUAUCGUGUGCAGCACUCAUCACGUGUCAACAUUUAACAAUCAUUACUAAUUAUUAAUAUGUCCUUGAUUUGGUGGAAUGAUGAUCUGUCCUUACUACUUAUUGGAUCAAAGAGCUAGGGCUGACUUCACUUGAGGGGAAAAAAGCAUUAUGCAGAAGAACCUUGCUGACUGUGCUAAUCCAAUAAACAAUUGAAUCUCAGGAAGUAGCCUAGCCUGUUCCCAGUGUGUUGACAUUAACAGCAAUAGAAGCAGAAGCAGGUCAUUAAAAACUAGCAGUCACUAAUCACUUUUCAUCAAAGAGUUAAUAGAUAAGUCAUUAUUUUAGGAUCUCAAGUUACUAAGACAAUUAUUUAUAAAAAUAUACACCAAUAUUUUUAUAAUAUGCUAUGAAAUAUGAUUACAAUGAAUUCACACUAAGCUACACAUAUCAGGACUUAUGAUCAAAGUAUAAAGAUGCAACAGUCUUAAUUGUUAUUAUUAUCGUGUGUUUAUUUUCUAACCGUCACAUACAGAAAAUCCUCCACAGGCCACUCAGUCAUCAAACAUUAGUGUGAAUUAUCUCUGCCAUGGCCACAUUAAAUUUUUUCUUAGUUUAUUGGUUGUAAGUGACUGAUGAAAUGUUGACGUUGUUUUUCUGAAAGCUGGUUUCUCCAAGGUGACUCCAGACUCUUACCAAUGAGACUAUAAAAGUGGAAGUAUUUAGUAAACAUGGAUAAUAUUUGAAAGCUAAGAAGGAUUAGCUGGAAGAAUUUUAUACCUUUGUGAUAAGCAAAAAUAUGUUUUUUGGCUGCUUUGUGUUGGCAUACAGUAAAUCAUGACCAGCACGAUUAGCAUACCUGUUAAAAAGUCAAGUCCUUUCUGCCCACAAAUCAUUGUGCACGCAGGAACCCAAGAGCAGCUUUUACUACUGAACUGCCUGCUUCCAUGAGCCAGAUGGGCAGUGGGAAGAAAAGUAUAGGGGAAAUGCAACAGCUGAAGCUUCCGGAUCUUUCAGCUGCAUGAAUCUUCUAGCUGUUUCUUAAUGUUGUUCUACUUUAAUAACCACAGCGUUUGCAGUGUACUAGGCAGGAGCACAAUCUAAACACAUCCGUCAUGAGACCUGGGAAUGCAAACACUGUGCUUCAUGUCCUGUAUAAUCUGCCAUCCAAGUCACCCUGUAUUUAUGAGCAGAAUGAAAAAUAAAUAUUGAUCUUUUUAAUCCUCCUUUAGUUACAAAGGGGCUAGUAUUGUCCCCCUCCCAACAGCGGGAUACACUCCUCCUUCAUUUCAUCAGCACUUACAGCUAUCAAAAAAUAGUAAUUCAUUAUUAACUAUUGUUCCUGAUGUUGUCACAUGCAGUUAUAGAACAUCUAUCCCUGUGGUACCUGACCACAUUUUGAUCCCAAUGCAAACUAUGCAAUAACCAUUAUCUAGUAACAUUACCCCCACUGUCCCCUCUCCCCCAAAUCCACACAUCCCCACAGCAUCACAAAUGUAAAAGGGAUGACGAGGAGAAAUCACCUUCUAAUGAAAACCUAUAGCACAUGAGCGUGCACACAAACAACUGCACAAACAUACUGUAAACUUCAGGUUGAAACCCUCUGCCCUACCUGACACAGGAUAUCCUUUAUAUACCCUCCACACAGCUGGUGGCCCUGGGGAUCAAUGUAAUCCAUGAUCUCCCAGUAUUUAGCUGCAAUGCUGUUGUCCUUAUCCUGGUCACAGCAGCCAAAGGUCUCAUAGGCAGAGCAGAACUCCAGGUGGAAAGGGGGCUGGAAAGGGGGUCCGUAGUCCAGGCACUGGGGGUGCCCCCAGAGCAUGCCUGCUUGGCACAGCAAGGAGACAGAGAGGCAAAAGAAAAAGUUGGGGGACAAGUUGGUAACUCCAAACCUGCUGCUGUGUGGCCAAACAUUAACCUUCUCCACUGGAGGUUUCUUGAGGUUAGAUGUAUAGGAAUCCUGGCCAUCUUUAAGAUAAGGCCCAUUCAUCCUUUGAGCUUUACAAAUUGCCAGCUGCAGAACUCAGUGUUUACUCAGGUUUUUGCUUGCUCACUCGCCCUCUCCCAAGCUCUCUCACUCUCUCCCCCUCUGAAGUUUACUAUUUGUGGGCUGAGGAGAAACCCUGCAGGCUGUUUCUUUGGUAUUUCACACGGCACAUUGCAAGAAUCUUCCCCCUCCCCUCUGCACAUUUCUCAUGCCCCCAAGAGCACUCACAGAUCUAGUCCCUACAACUUAGUUUAAACAGGUUCCAAAAUCAUUCAUUGAAUAUGUAUAACAGGUAAACAGUACUAUCCAUGAUCCAAAUAUAUCCAACCUGAUCUGCUCUCCCUAUUUAGAAUGCAAAGCAUGCUGCAGCUGUGAAAAUAUUAGGGAAGGAAAAUGAAUGAAUCACGUUCAGUCAGUACCUACACUCUAUUUAAUUUUCAAGAUCUGGGUCAAACCUGGAUCAGAUUCUACAGGGAUGGAAGCAGGGGGUCUUCCACCCUGUUUAAGAUUCACUUAAUAAUCCCAUCUUAAAUUAAUAUUGAGUGUAUGUGAGGAUAAAAAUCUUUACAGGGAUGCUACUGCCAAGUGAGGCAUUCUACAAAUUCAGAGUUAGAGUUAAACUUAAAAGAAAUCCAAACAUGUGAAGGUAGGAAAUACAAAUUAAGGCACACAAACAACUUUAACUCUACCCUGUAAUGAUGCCAUGCAACAACCACACUUUUAGGACUGUGUGAGCUCAGAUUAGUUUAAAUUGUUUUUUAAAGACCCAUUAGAUUUUUGCAUUUUUCCCUCCCAGUGUCCACUGCUAGUGUCCACUGUGGCCUUUUGAGACUAUACUUCUUAAAAAAACUAGUUCUCAUAGCCACCGAGGAUGUGCUAGGUUCUGUGUGCUGUGCUCACUGCUGAUGACUUAAGUCAUUUGUCCCAGACUCCAGUGCAUGAGCAAACAUGGCAAACAGAUUGAGGCUACCUCAGCCACACUCCAGCUUUGUCAUAGCUUCUCCUGCAAAGUUUUCCUUGCUCAUUUGCUGCCAAUCAGAAAUUGGCACAGUAAUAUUCAUGCAGCAUAUCUGGUUUGUAACACUAACAAAUCCAUGCCCUCUCAGAACUCAAUUGCCACUAUGCUAGAUGCCACAGCCCACUCAGAACAUCAGACCAACACCAUGCAAAUGUGCUGUUUCCAACUACAGGCCCCUAUCACUUGAGGUAAAAGAGAAUCUCUCUUAACCUAUUAGCAGUGUAGGGCCAAUGACACAGGGCUGAGCAGUUCUGAUUCCACCCCAGACAGCAGUGUUUACAUGUAUGUCCACACCCACCCACCAGUUCAUUACAAUGCAAAGCUGGCUGAAAAAAAAUAAACAUUUGUGGAAAUGUUUAAAGUUGUUUCCAUAACCUAUCACAUAACUUGGGGAAGUGUUAGUAGAGAGCAGGAGAGUUCCCAUAUCUCAGCCGGGGACAGUUUUUUUAGAGAUGGCGCCAGCUGAAAUGACACCUCCCUUCCAAAGAGUCCAUUGAAGUUGGUAAAGUGCUUUGAGCUUCUUGGGUAGAAGAUGCUGAUGGAGGACAGAGUAUUAUCAACAAACCAGGUCGAAAUUUUUGUCAUCAGAAAUUUUUUUUUAUGAAAAAUGGCUUUUCAAAUGCUAAUGUUUUGUAGAUUUUCAUAUAAUUUAAGAUGCUUUGAUUUUUCUUCAAAACUAAAAAUUUAAUUUCAAAUUGAAAUGAAAAAUUGAACUGAUUAUUUGGGUAAACCCUCAAACAUCUAUAUCCCGGAACAAAUGUUUGUGGAGCAUCCAGGUUAGCUUUUACAAAGGGGUUAACUCCCUCAAGUCCAUUGGCAACCAACCAACUCAAGUGAAAAUCUCUUGUAGUUGUACUUCAUGGCCCCAGUUGUUCUUCUACAUAGAAAAACUCGUGCAGGGGACAGGAAACUCCACAAAGUUCCCUUGAGAAGUGUGUUUCCAACAGAUCAUCUUUGGGAGGCAAUUUAUGCCCUGCAGAAUAGGUGGGAGUUCAGACCCCCACAGAUCUCGGGGAAUCCACCUCAGCUUCCUGUGUUAAGGUCUUUGGUUCUGUGCUGCCCUGACCCACGGAAGCUCUCCCACAAUUUGCUGUGACUCGCCCUGAGCCUCCACUGACCUCUGCCUCUGUGUGAAGGAAAAGUUCUUGGUCUCUGCCCUUGGGAUAUCUUCAACUUCCUCCCUUCAGAAAACCCCAUUUACUAUCUGCUUCCACAAUCUAUUUUCAUGUGUCUCACCCUGAAAAUAUUGAAACUCUGGCCGUACAGCCAAAGUUCAUUGUCUGCACAGUACCUCUGCAAAGUGACAAAUGUAAGCACCAGAUGAAACAAUGCACAGCUGCACUGUGAUGGUCACUGAUACCAUAUCCGUACUAGGAAACUAUUCAGCCCAGAGAUGUUAAAUAGUGACAAACUUUUGUUGCUACCACAGGUUGGAGAGCUUUGACUGCAUCAGCCAGCUGCUCAGUACCCACAAUCUACCAGCUUUGGUUAGGCUGCCAACAAACUGCAAGUACAGCACAACCAGAAGAUUCAAUGCUGGCAUGGACUAAAGCAGGGGUUCUCAAACUGGGGGUCGGGACCCCUCAGGGGGUCACGAGGUUAUUACGGGGGGGGGGGGGGGGUCCGCAAGCUGUCAGCCUCCACCCCAAAGCCCGCUUUUCCUCCAGCAUUUAUAAUGGUGUUAAAUAUAUAAAAAUGUGUUUUUAAUUUAUAAAAUGCCUCAGUGGCUUGCUAUGUGAAAGGGGUCACCAGUACAAAAGUUUGAGAACCACUGGACUAAAGCACCUUCAACAGAUUUAAAUACUCAAGGCUCAGUUUUCAGCCAGGCCUCACCCUGACCUGCCCUUCCCUAACAUACCUAUUAUCUUUGUGUAGCACCAGUCACUGCAACAUCACGAUGUUGCUUUUGCAUCUACAAAUAAUUUCAUCCUCAUUUUUGCAUCCACAGUGAACUGCAGGCACAAAUAUUAAUGGACACCUAAUUAUUCAAUUUGCAGGUGCCAACACAGGCGGUCUCUGAAAAUCAGGCCCUACAAGAGGUUUUCGGUGGCUUUUGUUCUUUUAGUGCUACUGGGUUCUUCCAUGUGUGAUAUACUUCCUCCUCACGCACUCUCCUCUUUCUAAGUGGCAAGAGCAUUUCAAUUCAAGCCCAUCUCUGCCGUUAUGCAAGAAGUGCUGCAUCCAGCCUCAAAAAUUCAAAUGCUACAGAGUCAGCUGUGUAGAAAAUUGCAACUACUGAGUUACUUGAUAUCUCUACUUGUAGACAAGAACAUUCCCUGUCUCUCCUUUGAGUAGGGAAAAGCUAGUGUGGCUUUACGCAAGUUUGGGCUGAGAGAAUGAGAAUGUUGGGUGCUCAGAGACUGCACAAUACACCACAGAGAACACUAUUAAGCAAAUCCUCACCCCCAUGGCCCAGCCACCAAAGACUUUUUAAACUAGGCUUUUUUUCUUAACCAAAAAAAAGGCGAACGUUGUCUGAAGGCAACAAAACAGGACCAAAAGCAAAUGCACCAACUGUUUAUAUUAUGAAAAUGAGACUCUGGUAAUGAAAAGCAUUAAAAGGAAAACCGCAACUGUGGAAUCAGAUCUUAGCUGGGAUCUCUUCAGAUUUAUUGAAUAUCUUUCUUUGUUUAGUGCUCACAAUGUGCUGAGGGCUGCACCAGAUGUCAAAAAUAAAGACAGGCUCUGCCUUAGACCGUUUACAAUGUGACAGACGGACACUAAUAAGAUGGCUACACUGAGGCCCCGUCGACACUGGCAAGUUUGUACGCAGUAAAGCGGCUUUGAGCGCUGUAACUCCCAAGGUGUACACGCUGCCAAGCCACUUAGUGCGCAGAAACUGCCCAGCUGUAGCGCUCUAAAAAACCACCCCGACGAGAGGCGUACAGCUUUCUGCCCCGGGGCUACAGCGCUGCGGUACCAGCGUAGACACCAUGGCGAUUACAGCCCUGCGAUUGGCCUCCGGGAGGUGUCCCACAAUGCCUGUUCUCACCUCUCUGGUCAUCAGUUUGAACUCUACUGCCCUGCCCUUAGGUGACCAACCGUCAUCUCCACCCCGUAGAAACCUUUGCAAAUUUGAAAGUCCCCUUCCCGUUUGCUUGGUGAUGCGUGCAGUGGUCUCAGCGCAUCUUUCCAGGUGGCCAGGCCUGCUCCACGCACCAGGCGAUCCCCCACUUGGAGCAGUGCCGAGCUGCUGAACCUCAACGGCAUCUGGGGAGAGGAAGCUGUGCAAUCCCAGCUGCGCUCCAGCCACUGGAAUUAUGAUACCUAUGGACAGAAUUCACGACGCAUGACAGAAAGGGGCCAUGACCAGGACACACUGCAGUGCAGGGUCAAAGUGAAGGAGCUGUGGAACACCUACCACAAGGCGUGGGAGACAAACCGCCACUCCGGUGCUGCGCCCACGAGCUGCCGGUUCUACAAAGAGUGGAUGCGAUACUCGGUGGCAACCCCACCUCCACUGCGAAGGCCCCUGUGGAUACUUCAUUGGUUCACAUGCCAGUCGAGAGUGGACCAAGCCAGGAGGAGGAAAUCUUGGACAAAGAGGGGGAUGGGGACCGAGAGGCAGAGGAUGUCUCGGAGGCCAGAGAUGCUUGCACUCAGGAGCUCUUUUCUACCCAGGAGAAGCCUAGCCAGUCACAGCAGUUGGAUCUUAGCAAGAGCAAACAGGAGAGGAGGCCUCUGAGAUGACCUUGGGAGGCCUGCCUCCCUUAUCAGUGGCACAAUGGCUGAGCAGAAUUAGAAAGCGUCCAAGAAGAACUAAGGAGGACUUUCUGUGUGAGGUAAUGAGAAACUGGAAUUGAAGGAGUGGCAGGACAGCAAAAAGAGGGACUGAAAGGAAGAUGCAGCACGCCAGAAUAAAGCCACGGAGUGGCUCUUAAAUGUUAUGGAGCACCAAGUGGACAUACUCUUCAAACCGAGCAGCUCCACACCCACCCUCCCCAGCAGCCGCUGUCACAAAAUUCUUGCCCAUGUGCCCCCACCAACCCAGCCAACACACUCUUCUUAACCUCCUGGCUCCAGGCUCUACCCACAGCAUUCCAGUCUUCCCUCCUCACAGUCCAGCACUGUGGACUCCCACUACCCACUGCACUCGACACCUGUCUGCAGUUUGGACCUGCUGAAGUACAGCACCUGCUACAUUGUACUCCAAAGGAGAAGGUUGGGUAUGAUCCCUGGACAUACACAAGUCUUUAGCUGUUCUGGGACCCCUCCUCCUCCUCUGGAGACCUUCCCUUCCCCA